GCAUUACGUAACAUCUAAAGUGUCUAUAAGGCAAAAACGAAUAACUCAUUGCGCUGUAUUUAUUAGCGAAUAAAAGUUCGGUCUCUGUGGAAGUUUGUAAAAUACUGACGCCUGCAGUGAUUCAAAGAAAUUCUCAGGCAACUUCGAGUACAUUCUACGCAAACAGUUAACAUUAUAUGACAAUCAAAAAGCAGCACCGACAUUGAUAAGUAUCGUUGCAUCUAUCAGAAUAUAUUGAAAUGCAUUUUCUGUCGUAAUCAAGAAUUAUGCAACUGAACGUAAUUGACGUAGACUACGAACAACGUUAAUUAUUUACGUAAGAGCUUUUGAUUUGAAUUAACAGUUGAGAAGAUCAUUUUACAUCCUGAAUGAAUGUCAGAAUCUUUUCUGCAAUAGACCCGAGGAAGAAUAUUAGAUGCAAAUUGACACGUUCUUGUGAACGGGACGUCUACCUUUCAAGGACAGAAGCCGUGCAGAAUGCAGAUUUGCGAAAAAUGAGAUGAGCCGACGAGAAUUAUAGUAUUAAAUGUGAGUGUUCGUCAAGCGUAGCCAUUGUCAUCACUGGACGUUCUUGUGCUGAGAAACUACGCCACUGCGGUAAUGUUCCGUCGUCAUUGUAAUGCAGGCACCGACAGGAUUGGAACGGAUUAAUGACAGAAGCUUUAUAGCGUCGGGCGAGUAUCGUCGAGAUUCUUAUAACCUUAAAAUGGACGGAGAAAGCACAUCGAAUGGCGCGCCAAAUAUAGUGGGAGGAUAUUUUGAGAUUAUUAAAAGGAAUGAGAAAACGGUACCAGCGUGGGUGUCUUAACUGAACCAAACAACCUGAACAACGAGAUUGUACGACUUGGGUCAGGAAGCAUGAGGAAGCUCUUCAACGAGCACGUGGAAGCGUACCAACCAAAGGGAACGAAAGGAUCUUUAUGGAGGAAAGGAAAAAUCCCAGAGAGCAGUUGGCGCAGGAAGAGAAUCCUAAGAAUGCGAGGCUAAACCAACUCUCCCUGUUGUGGAAAACCGGUUCCGGUUCGACGAAAUGAAAAGUCCAGGAGGUAUCCUGGCCGUGGAACUUCGUCGGGAUUGAUUUUUUUCUAUAGUCUGGCAACGUCCUACGUAGUGUCCAUAGGUCGCAGCCAUCCGUUAUAAAAAUUUGCCAAUACAGCGAAAUGAGAGUUCAUAGACGUCGCGGCCAUUGGGUCUGGUUGCUGUCGGACGGCAUGAUGCUGGACUCGCGUACGAGUGAAUAAUAUGAACCCUAAGCUUCACGUCACCGGAAGCACGACCUCCGUCGCC